GAUGAACGCUGGCGGCGUGCCUAAUACAUGCAAGUCGAGCGAACGGACGAGAAGCUUGCUUCUCUGAUGUUAGCGGCGGACGGGUGAGUAACACGUGGAUAACCUACCUAUAAGACUGGGAUAACUUCGGGAAACCGGAGCUAAUACCGGAUAAUAUUUUGAACCGCAUGGUUCAAAAGUGAAAGACGGUCUUGCUGUCACUUAUAGAUGGAUCCGCGCUGCAUUAGCUAGUUGGUAAGGUAACGGCUUACCAAGGCAACGAUGCAUAGCCGACCUGAGAGGGUGAUCGGCCACACUGGAACUGAGACACGGUCCAGACUCCUACGGGAGGCAGCAGUAGGGAAUCUUCCGCAAUGGGCGAAAGCCUGACGGAGCAACGCCGCGUGAGUGAUGAAGGUCUUCGGAUCGUAAAACUCUGUUAUUAGGGAAGAACAUAUGUGUAAGUAACUGUGCACAUCUUGACGGUACCUAAUCAGAAAGCCACGGCUAACUACGUGCCAGCAGCCGCGGUAAUACGUAGGUGGCAAGCGUUAUCCGGAAUUAUUGGGCGUAAAGCGCGCGUAGGCGGUUUUUUAAGUCUGAUGUGAAAGCCCACGGCCCAACCGUGGAGGGUCAUUGGAAACUGGAAAACUUGAGUGCAGAAGGGGAAAGUGGAAUUCCAUGUGUAGCGGUGAAAUGCGCAGAGAUAUGGAGGAACACCAGUGGCGAAGGCGACUUUCUGGUCUGUAACUGACGCUGAUGUGCGAAAGCGUGGGGAUCAAACAGGAUUAGAUACCCUGGUAGUCCACGCCGUAAACGAUGAGUGCUAAGUGUUAGGGGGUUUCCGCCCCUUAGUGCUGCAGCUAACGCAUUAAGCACUCCGCCUGGGGAGUACGACCGCAAGGUUGAAACUCAAAGGAAUUGACGGGGACCCGCACAAGCGGUGGAGCAUGUGGUUUAAUUCGAAGCAACGCGAAGAACCUUACCAAAUCUUGACAUCCUUUGACAACUCUAGAGAUAGAGCCUUCCCCUUCGGGGGACAAAGUGACAGGUGGUGCAUGGUUGUCGUCAGCUCGUGUCGUGAGAUGUUGGGUUAAGUCCCGCAACGAGCGCAACCCUUAAGCUUAGUUGCCAUCAUUAAGUUGGGCACUCUAAGUUGACUGCCGGUGACAAACCGGAGGAAGGUGGGGAUGACGUCAAAUCAUCAUGCCCCUUAUGAUUUGGGCUACACACGUGCUACAAUGGACAGUACAAAGGGCAGCGAAACCGCGAGGUCAAGCAAAUCCCAUAAAGUUGUUCUCAGUUCGGAUUGUAGUCUGCAACUCGACUACAUGAAGCUGGAAUCGCUAGUAAUCGUAGAUCAGCAUGCUACGGUGAAUACGUUCCCGGGUCU
rnacentral:rRNA from 1 species